rnacentral:rRNA from 1 species
CUCGCCUACAUGAAGCUGGAGUUACUAGUAAUCGCAGAUCAGAAUGCUGCGGUGAAUGCGUUCCCGGGUCUUGUACACACCGCCCGUCACACCACGGGAGUUGGAGACGCCCGAAGCCGAUUAUCUAACACCUGGAGGAAGGUGGGGAUGACGUCAAAUCAUCAUGCCCCUUAUGCUUAGGGCUACACACGUGCUACAAUGGGUAGUACAGAGGGUUGCCAAGCCGUAAGGUGGAGCUAAUCCCUUAAAGCUACUCUCAGUUCGGAUUGUAGGCUGAAACUCGCCUACAUGAAGCUGGAGUUACUAGUAAUCGCAGAUCAGAAUGCUGCGGUGAAUGCGUUCCCGGGUCUUGUACACACCGCCCGUCACACCACGGGAGUUGGAGACGCCCGAAGCCGAUUAUCUAACCUUUUGGAAGAAGUCGUCGAAGGUGGAAUCAAUAACUGGGGUGAAGUCGUAACAAGGUAGCCGUAUCGGAAGGUGCGGCUGGAUCACCUCCUUUCUAAGGAGA